rnacentral:pre_miRNA from 1 species
UCUUAUGGAUGAGCAUGAUAGUAGUUUCUAGAGAUAGAAUCUACUCCUGAUGAAGAUGCUAUGAA